UCAAUUCAAGUUUAUUUGUAUAGCGCCUUUCACAAUACAAAUCAUUGCAAAGCAGAUUUACAGAAAAUUAAAGUUUUUACAUUAUAUUCGUGAUAGCUUAUCAGUGGUGAGUAUGACUAUUUGAUGUCCAUAUGGCAGAAAUGUAGAGUAAAAAUCUAACUAAAAACGGUGAAAACUAUUAAGAACGAUAAUAUGUUGCAAUCAAACUUAUAGCAAAAUUUGGUAAUUUUGUAUGUUGUUUCAGGAUUGCCAUCAUCUGAAGGCCUCUGAGGGGGAUGGAUGACAAGCCGUGAGACCAGGGAACUGUUUAACAAGUGUAUCUUUACUUGAGAUGCAGGAGUUAGUCCACAUACAUGAAACUUCUCUACGAUAACACACUUGAGCACGCAUAGAGCGAAAAAUACAUCGUGGACCAAAGAGGAAACUGACAACACACAGACAGACAAGACAGAGAAGGUUACUUCUGGUAUGAAACAAGGUUUCAGCUUUCAAAUUUUGUCCUUUUUUUUUUUUUAUAAGAAAUUCAGACAAUAAAUACUGUUUUAUGUGUUGUGACAGAUCGCUGUAGCGCCUCAGUUCAAGCAGCACACGUGAACCAAUUGAUUCAUAUUUAAUUAAAGCACAAAAUAAAAAAUGUCACACGUCUUUAUACAACAUUUUUCAAGUGAAAGUCCACCGAAGUUAAUCUACUCCCCUGUCUAAUUUGUUUGUCGGGCAAGAUGACGGUUUCGGCGUUAUAAUAGGUCAGAACCAGAUUACCUGUCAAUCAAGCUCACUGUGAACAAUCAAUUACAUUUUACAUGUAUUCACACAGAAAACAUCUCAAAACCUUGCACUUCUGUUAUAUGUGAUGAAAUCAUCUUUUGUGUGAAAUAUGAACAGCUAUGCUAAUCUUUCUCCAUUUGUUUUCCUGUUUCUCCAGCCUCGCGUGUGAAGACUUCAGUGCCAGACCUCACAAAGAUUUCAGAUGAUGGCAACUGUAGAUGAACAUGCAAAGCUGCUAAAUAAUCCUUAUAUUGUAAUCAUUGCCCAAAAAGGUAACAAACCAAAGGAUGAGGACAGUAGCUUUUCUGUGCCAGCCGUGGUACAUACAGGAACAUCCUUCGUGAAGAUGCGUCAGAGAAGCAUGUAAGGCAAGAUGAGUAUUUUUUUAUAUAUAUAUAAAUAAUAUAAUAUUUUUAUAUAUUUAUCUAUUUGUUGGUAAUUGAUAGAUUUAUGUUUUAUUCCCUGUAGAGUAGGAAUAAUACAUGUUUGUGAAAAAUGUUAUCUAUUUUUAAAGCCCAGUGUCAAUGAAGAUGGUGUGG
ensembl:lncRNA